UUCCAGACUCCUACGGGAGGCAGCAGUGGGGAAUAUUGCACAAUGGGGGAAACCCUGAUGCAGCAACGCCGCGUGAAGGAAGAAGGCUUUCGGGUUGUAAACUUCUUUUAUUCGGGACGAAGAAAGUGACGGUACCGAAUGAAUAAGCCACGGCUAACUACGUGCCAGCAGCCGCGGUAAUACGUAGGUGGCAAGCGUUAUCCGGAUUUAUUGGGUGUAAAGGGCGUGUAGGCGGGAAUGCAAGUCAGAUGUGAAAACUCAGGGCUCAACCCUGAGCCUGCAUUUGAAACUGUUUUUCUUGAGUACUGGAGAGGCAGACGGAAUUCCUAGUGUAGCGGUGAAAUGCGUAGAUAUUAGGAGGAACACCAGUGGCGAAGGCGGUCUGCUGGACAGCAACUGACGCUGAGGCGCGAAAGCGUGGGGAGCAAACAGGAUUAGAUACCCCUGUAC
rnacentral:rRNA from 1 species